rnacentral:rRNA from 1 species
GACGAACGCUGGCGGCGUGCCUAAUACAUGCAAGUAGAACGCUGAAGAGAGGAGCUUGCUCUUCUUGGAUGGGUUGCGAACGGGUGAGUAACGCGUAGGUAACCUGCCUUGUAGCGGGGGAUAACUAUUGGAAACGAUAGCUAAUACCGCAUAACAAUGGAUGACACAUGUCAUUUAUUUGCAAGGGGCAAUUGCUCCACUACAAGAUGGACCUGCGUUGUAUUAGCUAGUAGGUGAGGUAAUGGCUCACCUAGGCGACGAUACAUAGCCGACCUGAGAGGGUGAUCGGCCACACUGGGACUGAGACACGGCCCAGACUCCUACGGGAGGCAGCAGUAGGGAAUCUUCGGCAAUGGGGGCAACCCUGACCGAGCAACGCCGCGUGAGUGAAGAAGGUUUUCGGAUCGUAAAGCUCUGUUGUAAGUCAAGAACGGGUGUGAGAGUGGAAAGUUCACACUGUGACGGUAGCUUACCAGAAAGGGACGGCUAACUACGUG